UACAGAGGUCCCAAGCGUUGUUCGGAUUCACUGGGCGUAAAGGGUGCGUAGGUGGUGAGGUAAGUCGGAUGUGAAAGCUCGGAGCUCAACUCCGAAAUGGCAUUGGAAACUACCUUGCUCGAGGGUUGGAGGGGGGACUGGAAUACUUGGUGUAGCAGUGAAAUGCGUUGAUAUCGUUCGGAACACCGAAAGCGAAGGCAGAGCACUGGGUGCCACCUGACACUGCUAGGACGAAAGCGUGGGGAGCGAAUGGG
rnacentral:rRNA from 1 species